AUGGAAGUGAUGAUCCUUUCCCCAAAUGAUCGACUCUGAUUAUACUAUGCGUUUUGUUUAAUUCUCUUUAUCAGAGAGAAUUUCCAAGCCAGGACUCUGAUCCAU
rfam:Macleaya cordata isolate BLH2017 scaffold1159, whole genome shotgun sequence.